UACGUAGGUGGCAAGCGUUGUCCGGAUUUAUUGGGCGUAAAGCGAGCGCAGGCGGUUCCUUCAGUCGGAUGUGAAAGUCCCCGGCUCAACCGGGGAAGUUCAUUGGAAACUGGGGAACUUGAGUGCAGAAGAGGAGAGUGGAAUUCCAUGUGUAGCGGUGAAAUGCGUAGAUAUAUGGAGGAACACCAGUGGCGAAGGCGGCUCUCUGGUCUGUAACUGACGCUGAGGCUCGAAAGCGUGGGGAGCAAACAGG
rnacentral:rRNA from 1 species